rnacentral:rRNA from 1 species
GUAGGGAAUAUUGCGCAAUGGACGAAAGUCUGACGCAGCGACGCCGCGUGAGUGAUGAAGGCCUUAGGGUCGUAAAGCUCUGUUGAAUGGGAAGAAAAAAAUGACGGUACCAUUCGAGGAAGGACCGGCUAACUUCGUGCCAGCAGCCGCGGUAAUACGAGGGGUCCUAGCGUUGUUCGGAAUCAUUGGGCGUAAAGGGUGUGUAGGUGGCCAUGUAAGUCAGGUGUGAAAGCCCCGGGCUCAACCCGGGAAGUGCACUUGAUACUGCGGGGCUUGAGUACCGAAGAGGGUAGUGGAAUUCCAGGUGUAGUGGUGAAAUACGUAGAUAUCUGGAGGAACACCGGUGGCGAAGGCGGCUACCUGGUCGAGUACUGACACUGAGACACGAAAGCAUGGGGAUCAAACAGGAUUAGAAACCCGGGUAGUCC